GUAACAUGUUGCAGAUAUGUAGAUACCAUUUCAAUUCAGGAAAAUUGUACAAUCGUGUGUCAACUAUGUUUAACAUAUUGUCAUUCUUUUUCAUAAUAUUUCAAUACUUAACAUAUUCAGAGAAUAAAAUUCUUCAAGGACAACUUAUAACACGUGAAAAUUGGGCAUUUUUAGCAAGAUUUUGCUUUUUAACGGAACAAGGUAUAUUUCGAUAUAAAUUCGAAUUAGGAGGCAGAGAAGAAGAUUUAAAAAUAUUAUUAUAUUAUGAUGCACCUGAUCAAUGGCCAAGCAUUUAUCCUUCGAACAAAACGUGCAUUGAAAAAGAAUCUAUACUUUGGCAUGGAAUUGGUCAAAUAAUACCACUAUCUACAGUAACAUUUGAAGAAUCAGGAUGCAUCGAAAAAGAUGCUGUAAUACGAUGUUCCAGUAAUCGUAGAUUUCGAUCAUCUCGUCCAAGAUGGUGGUUCAUUGCAUUAGCAGAUUGUUCUUCAAAAAGUGGAUUAAAUAUCUCAUAUUCAAUAUCAUUAACAAAUGCACCACAUGAGAAUUUCUGGAAAGAACACUUUUCAGCAGAUGAAUUUUAUAUAUUGCCAGAAUUAUUAAUUAUUGCUUUUAUUUAUGUGAUACUUGUAAUAUUAAGUUUUUAUUUAGCUAUGCAACUAAGAGCAAGAAGAUUAUUACAUAUAUCUUAUAAAAUAUUUAUGGCUUCAUUAUUUUGUCAAUUAGUGGGAGUAUUAUUUGAAAUUUAUAAUUAUAUAAAUCUUGGUUUGAGAGGAAUAUCAAUAGAAAGUGCUUCUUUAUUCGGUCAACUCUUAGAAGCAUGUUCAGAUAUUUUAUAUACCGUACUUAUGUUACUACUAGCACUUGGUUUUACAGUAACUAAAAGUGUUUUAACAUCAAAACAAAUUCGAUGGCUCAUAUGUUUUAUUUGCUUGAUUUCUUUUUGUCAAUUUUCAUUAUAUAUUUAUCAAUCUGAUAUCUUUGAUCCUGGAUUGAUAUUAUAUAUUUAUGAGUCACCACCAGGAUAUGGAUUAAUAAUAUUAAAGUUGAUUGCAUGGAUUAUAUUUUCUCUUCGUUGUUUUAAGACUGUUAGAAAAAUGUCAACAAAACUUCACUUUUAUGGUUCAUUAUUUUCAUUGGGAUCAGCAUGGUUUUUAUGUCAUCCAUUAACGGUACUCUGCAUUACUUUAUUAGUAGAUGAAUGGGUAAGAGAAAGUGUUGCUAAAGGCUGUUCAUUAUGGACUGUUUUUAUGGGACAUAUAGUAUUUUUAUAUAUCACCAGGCCAUCUAUGGCUAAUAAACGUUUUCCAUUUCAUAUCAGAACAUGUCAAGUUAUGCCAAUUGGUGGUGAAGGACAAGAUCACAGUUAUGAACCCAAUAUUAGAACAGCAAAUUCUGCAUUCACUAUUUCACAUUUAACACCAUCUAUUUUACAAUCUUAAUAAUAAGCAUAUACCUUAAAAUAUAUGAUAAUCUAUGUUUCAUUACAAAAUUUACAAUUGUAAUUAGUGAUCAUCAAUCACAUGAACCAUCAAGCCAACCAUAUUUCCAUUUUUGAUUAACAAGUUUACAAUCAAAUUCUGGUUUUCCAAGUUUUCUAUUUACCUCAUUAUGUAUUUUACAAAGCCAUUGGCUCAACUGUUCCUGUGAAUUAGUUUCUGGUGGGGAAUGUUUUAAUUGUUCCUGUAAAUCUUCUGCACAUACAUUGCAAGGAUAAAACUUAGAAAAUAUAUGAAAAAACUGUUUCAUAUCUGACUUUUGUUCUUCACUUGGAUUAUUAGGAUAAUAUGCUGCCAUAAUGGAUUUUUCUUUUUCUUUUCCUCAGAUUCCUGGCAAAA
rnacentral:misc_RNA from 1 species